GGGGCAGUGGUGACACCAACAUGCCAUCUCAGUGCCCGUCCUGGAAACCAGAGGCUGCUCCUGAGCUG
rfam:Myotis brandtii contig286640, whole genome shotgun sequence.